GUUGCUCAGGAGUCACAGCCUCACCUCACAGGCACAGGAAAAAAAAACCUGAAGUGAGAAAUGGCAGGGUUCUUCAGCACCUGUGCUGCUUCUGAUCACUAUUGUUUGCAGCUCAGAUCUGGAUCAGCUCACCAUGAACUGAUUAGACCAAACAAGUACAGAAGGACCAUGAUCAGGUGCUGCAGCACAGCAAAGGGGAAGACAAGAAGGGACUACUACCAGGUUCUUGGAGUAGCAACUCAUUCCACACCUCAGGAGAUCAAGGAAGCUUACAGGAAACUCCAGAAGCAACACCAUCCUGAUAUUGCUGGCGACAAGGGCCAUGACCAUGCGCUGUUGCUGAAUGAGGCGUAUGAGGUGUUGAUGAGGAGUUCAUCCAGGAAAGCUGAUGGAUUUGGCAAGAGCAGAGGCGGCUUUGGGAGCGGUUACACCGGGGACGGGUACAGUUCUUGGAAUGGGCCUAUCAGGAGCCAGGCUCUCUUCGUGGAUGAGAACAAAUGCAUAGGAUGUAGGGAGUGUGUUCACCAUGCUGGGGAGACAUUUGCCAUGGACGAUGUUCUUGGAAGCGCGCACGUCGAAGUCCAGUUUGGCGACGUGGAGCAGCAGAUCCAGGUGGCUGUGGAGUCUUGCCCUGUGAACUGCAUCCACUGGGUUGGGAGCGAAGAGCUCCCGGUGCUGGAGUUCAUGGCACGUCCACAGCCCAAGGAAGGGCACGGCGUGUUCGGCGGCGGGUGGGAGAGGCCUAAGGACGUGUUCGCGGCGGCCAGGAACUUCUCCAGGAAACUCGAGAAGCAGGAGCGGCAGGAAAGUUCCAGGGGCGCAAGCGGGGGUGAAGAUAUGGAGGCUGAAACGGCAGCUCAGGCCGAAGCGAGACGCCACGCGGGGCAGGAGCUCCGGUGGAAGAGUUUGUUCGAUGUUUGGAAUGGGUUGGGAGACUGGAGGAAAUCUGGAACAGACAGGUAGAUGUGCAGUUGCUAGUCGUUGGUUAGUGAUGGUGUGAAGACUGCAACCACACACUGGAUGUUCCCAACCAAAUAUGACGACCUGUGUCCAGAUUAGAUGCAAACUUGACGAGAUUAUGAGAUCCAGAUUAGAUGCGAACUUGACGAGAUUAUGAGCUUUAAAAUUAAAGUUCCUGCACCGCUGUGGACAUCUUCAUGUUACCUAGUAGCGGUAAAAGCAGUCAAGUUUUUUUUUUUA